rnacentral:lncRNA from 1 species
UAAAUUGGCCCACUGAUUAAAAUAGAGGCAGCCCAGGUUAACUAAAAUAAAAUCGGACCCAACAAAAAUAAUGUAAGGCCCAUCACCUUAACAAGUAAAUAAAAAUAAUCUCAGCCCAAUUCUCAGGCCCAAAACUUAAGAGAUAAACUGAGCCCAAACCCUCAUCCCCUUUUCUCUCGGUCACACGCACAAACCCAGAAAUCUGCUCCUCAUUCCUUACGAAAUCCGCUCGUCUCCCUCUCUCGAAGUUCAGCCACCGCAGCUUUCUUUCCGGCGACGAACGCCGCCGGUCAGCCGCCCCCUAUCUCUCGCUAAUCGCUCCCUGUCUCGAACACAUCCGCUCCCAACACGCUGAAUACAGGACACACCCACACCCGAGACUCACACACACGGCGCACCACCUCAGGCCGCGGCCUCCUUCCUUGGCGAUGGCGAAAGCGCCGCCGCCUCCCUCUAUUCCUCAGAUCCGACUCUCUCAUUCUCCGGCGAGCUCUCUCCUUCCUCCAUUUCAGUCACCGCUGCCGUCCGUAUCUCGGCAACUGACACCGCUAUUUUAAUUUCGGCAACUGCAACGGCCUGCUGAGCCCGCCACCACUGGUCUCCCUCCAUUUUCGGCGACUACAGCAAGCGGACGCCACCGUCGUUGACAGCAGCGAACCACCGCCGCCAGCCACCGAUUUCACCCUCAAGGCUACCCCCUGUUCUCCCUCUCCUCUCUCUCCCAUCUCUCUCCGGCUUCGACGGACAGCAGCUGCCAGGCCGCCGCCACCGAGCUCAGACUCAGAACACACACAACAAAAUCGAAACUUCCCCCAUUUCUUCCUUUUUUUUUCAUAACAGUGAAAGCUGAGUUCUUGAAAUCAAUCGAGCUUUUAUUUAAAGGGUUAAUUGCAUGUAAUAUCAUGAACUUAACGCGAAAUCCAAAUUUAGCAUGACUUUUAAAAGUUCCAAUUAUUAUCACCACCUAUGCCCCGUGUCCAAUUUUAGCACCUUUUUGUUUUCUGUUUUCUGAUAGAACCACGCAGUGGCGGAUUCAGGAUUUAUUAUUAGGGGGUACAAAAUUUACUGCAGUACGACAUAGACGUAUGAAAAUAUUUAUACGUCCGCCUCCGAACCAAUUUUUUUAAGCAUUCCGUCAAUUUGUAUUUAUAUCCAAGUAGAAUCUUAAUAGGUUUGGAAUUAGAAUUAAUCACUUAAUUGUUCACAAUUUCAUUAAUUCAAUGGCAAGUAUAUUAAAACAUAUAAAGACAUACUUUUAUUCGUAUUUUUUUAAAUAUAUUAUUUUAUCUUCUAAACAAAUAAACUAAUUUCAUUAUUAAUAGUUCGUAAUUUAUUUUAACUCGGGGAUUAACUCAAAUUCAAUAUUAAAACUUAUCUAAUUAAAAAGGAAAAUGAGACAAAACUAACAUAAAUUUAACAAACUAAUAGAACAAAUCAAUGUAAAUUGUCAAAUAUUUAAUCUAAUAUUAUAAUUAUUAUAAUACUAUAUUAUACUUUUCCUUGUAUAUAUAUAUGUAUAUAGUAAAAAAAUUAAAAAAAAAUGGGGGUACAGUUGUACCCCCUUGCUCCCAUAUAGAUCCGCCACUGGAAUCACGUGGCAAUGACGUGUCUUCCGGUAGACACGUCAUUGCCACGUACUCCGAAGAGAGAGAGAGAGAGGGGGCUAAAAUCGGCGGGUUUGCAGAGGGCGGCGCGACGACCCCGAUCCCCCCUCCCCCCACCUCAGCCUACCAGAAUGAUGAGGGUGGCGGCGUCGCGAGGAGGGGAGUCGCCGAGAAGGGGAAUCGCGCAGAGGGCGGCGGCGGCGCGACUGAAAAUUCUGGAAUUGGGGGUAGGGUUUGAAAAUUCUGAAAAAUUCUGGAAUUGGCGGCACACGUCGCCGGAAUCGCGAGGAGGAGGUGAGGGUGGAGGCGGCGGCACUCGUCGCCGGAAUCGCGAGGAGGAGGUGAGAGGCGUGGGCGGUGGAAGAGGAGGAGGUGAGGGUGGAGGCGGCGGCACUCGUUGCCGGAAUCGCGAAGAGGAAGUGAGAGGCGUGGGCGGUGGAAGAGGAGGAGGUGAGAGGCGUGGGCGGUGGAAGAGGAGGAGGUGAGAGGCGUGGGCGGUGGAAGAGGAGGAGGUGAGGGUGGAGGCGGCGGCACUCGGUCGCCGGAAUCGCGAGGAGGAGGUGAGAGGCGUGGGCUGGGGCCUGUGGAAGAGGAUGAGGUGAGGGGUGAAAGGGCGGCGGAAGAGAGAGAGAGAGAGAGAGAGAGAGAGAGAGAGCUUGGCUCGCCGGUCGGAAGCUUGUACCGGCAAGCCACGUCAAUGACACGUAGGAUCGAAGCAUGUGCCGACAAGCCACGUCAAAAAACGGUGCUAAAAUUGGACACGGGGCAUAGGUGGUGAUAUUAAUUGGAACUUUUUAAAGUCGUGCUAAAUUUGGAUUUCGCGUUAAGUUCAUGAUAUUACAUGCAAUUAACCCUUAUUUAAAAGCAUAAACACA